UACAGAGGGUGCAAGCGUUGUUCGGAAUUACUGGGCGUAAAGGGCGUGUAGGCGGUUUAGCAAGUCAGAUGUGAAAUCCCCGGGGCUCAACCUCGGGCCUGCAGUCGAUACGAGCAAACUAGAGUGUUGCAGGGGAGACUGGAAUUCCUGGUGUAGCGGUGAAAUGCGCAGAUAUCAGGAGGAACACCGGUGGGCGAAGGCGGGUCUCUGGGCAGUAACUGACG
rnacentral:rRNA from 1 species